GCCAGGAUCACGCCCUGAGCCGAAGGCAGACGCUUAACCGCUGUGCCACCCAGGCGCCCCGAGCUUUACUAUUCUUGUCUGUCCUGUGCUGAGGAGGCAGAUGGAGUCUCGUCCUGUCAGGCACACUUGAGUUAAGACACAAGGGAUCCUUCACACCCUGGCCCAGGCUGCGAUGCUGAACGUGUUGGGGCCACUGCCCCAGAGACUUUGUCACAGAAAGUGGUGGAGGGAUUGUUUUUAAGCCAGCGGGGACCCUCAAGUGGAACAUCUUCCCUCCCAGGGCAAACCCCUUCAGAGCCCUUGGAAAAUCACGGUUGCACUUUUAGCAAGACCCUGCCACCGUGGGGGGAAGCCCCCAUAGCAACCAGUCCUCUCCAAAGGGGGUUCCUCUUGGCGGGGCUGCACGCUUGCGGUGCUGACUGCACUCUUGCCUUCCCGCUGUUUAAUUCCUUAGCUCCGUCCUCUCCUGCCUCCUUUAUCCUUUCGCCUCUUCCAGCCCCGCUUCCCUCUCACUUUGGAGGGCUGGUGGAGCCUUGGCUCUGCUCACAGUUUCUAGAUGGUCUGUCUGCCGCGGCCUUGGUGAGGACCCGCUCCCCAGCAGCCUUGGGGCAGUCUCUCUUGCUGUGUCCCUGGACAACUCCGCGUGGCACUGUGCGUAGAUGACUAUUUCCGAGCAGCCUGCCCUGAUUUUCCCCAGGCACAGACGGAGAUGAACCAGGAGAUUUUGCGGCUGCAGGACAUUCUCGGGAUGAUCUCGCCUCUGAAGAUGCCUUUCGAAGGGCCCUGGGCUCAGAGUGAAACCCCCAGAGCAGCCGGAGAUAAUGACCCUGUGAUAUUUGGUGGCAGAUCACAGAUGACGUUUACCCUCUUGUCCAUGCGUGUGGAUUACUUACAUCUGUGUGUUUCAUGUACAGCCAGACAAAACUAUAAAGCAAUUUCAAUUUUGAAAAAAAAUAUAUAUGAGGAGAAUGUAUAAUGACAAGAAAGGAAUUAGUAUUUUAAAAAAGUUAUGGGGGCGUCUGGGUGGCUCAGUCUGUUAAGCGCCCAACUCUUGACUUUGGCUCAGGUCAUGAUCUGUGGGUCAUGAAAUUAAGCCCCGAGUUUUUGCCGUUAUAAUCCAUAGUAACCUUUUCAUGAUAGAUUGAUAGAAGUGGAUUUGCUGGGUCAAAAAAUAUACACAACUCUGAGGUUCUUGAAACCUGUUACCAAAUUGCCCUUGGCAAUGGUAGCGCUAUUUAUCAGCACUCUUAUCUGUCUGAAAUAUUAUAUUUGGUAUAAUCUAUCAGGUCUAUUGCCUUUUAAAAAAUGCAGUCCUUGGGGCGCCUGGGCAGCGCAGUCGUUAAGUGUCUGCCUUCUGCUCAGGGCGUGAUCCCGGUGUUCCGGGAUCAAGUCCCACAUCGGGCUCCUCUGCUGGGAGCCUGCUUCUUCCUCUCCCACUCCCCUGCUGUGUUCCCUCUCUCGCUGGCUGUCUCUCUGUCAAAUAAAUAAAUAAAAUCUUUUUAAAAAAAUGCAUUCCUUUUUUAAAUUUGUUGUUUGAACAACUCCAAUUUGUAUUAGAAACCAGUUCCUAUUUAAUUUUUAUUAGAGUUUAUUAUUCAUUCAAUUACUGACCUCCUGGUUUCUUGCUUUCAGUAUAUUUCUAAAAAUAUUCACUUAUUUAAGACACCUGGACUUUCUUCCCAUGUAAGAUGUGAAAGGCAAAAACUUAAUUUUUUUCCAACUAGCUAACCAGUGAUCUCAGCACCUUUAUUAUAUAAUCCAUUCUUUCCCCUUGUAUGUGAAUGUCACUGGUGUCAUGAACUUCAAAUAUUCUAAUGGGGUCUAGUCUCAUAUCACUUUAUUUUAAUUAUUGGAAUCAGUAAUUGUAAAUGGGCCGGUAUGUAUCUGGUAGCCGAUAACCCUAUUGGGAGGAAGAGCUUCUUGCCUUUGAGAAAGAAAACCCUCUCGAUUCCAAAAAGAUAGGUGAGUCACAUUCCUCCAUCUCUGCAAUUUUUCCCUCUGCUAGGACCGAAGGAUGGGGAACACAGGGCAUCACCGUGAGGACGCAGGAAUCCAAAAUUCAGAACCUGGGUGACCAGGAAGAAAGCUUGUGGGAAAACUGCACACCCCCCUUCCCUGGGCGUGGCAGUGGGAGGGGGUCACAGUAAAAACUGAAGAUCAGCUUCUGGGAUUUUGACACUUUGAGAAGCCAGCCAAGCUCUGGGACCCUGAGAAAAAAAUAAAAAACCAAGAGUUUGGGGAGGAGAAAGGAGUAUUGUUCUCAUGCUUUUCAAUAAAUUAAUUACAUAACAAACAAAAUGAUCCACAGGGUCAUGCCUGAGUAAGUCAAUAACCUCAUUGUACCUAUGCUUGAAAUGCCAUCUUUUAUUUUAUUUUAUUUUAUUUUAUUUUAUUUUAUUUUAUUUUUUUUAAAGAUUUUAUUUAUUUAUUCGACAGAGAUAGAGACAGCCAGUGAGAGAGGGAACACAAGCAGGGGAAGUGGGAGAGGAAGAAGCAGGCU
ensembl:lncRNA